AAAGGGCUACUGAGCAGUUGGAUGGAAUUUAAAGAUACAGCGAGGAAUUUACGAAUCCUUGACGAUAAAUUAGCGGUUUGAGAACGGAGCUGUUCCGGGUGUUUCGCGAUGAUGUUGGGGGCAGUUGAACAGAGCCUGGUUGAUGGGGAUUUUUCUAAACACGAUGAUACAAUACGGCGGUAGUAGGGGAAGCCGCUCCUCUUCAAUGGGCCCAGGAAAUGGUCCUCCCUGAAGACGGAGAGGCGCAGUAAAAAAGGACAAUGUUAUCCACGGUCGAAGUCGGGCAGAGUGUCUAUCUGUCUCACUGGAACCUACGUGGUAGUUUCUCUCUGCCAGCCCUCCCUCUGGGAUUUGUGCAAUGUUUUGGUGGCUGGCAAGACACGGUUUAGUUUCACACAGCACAAUUAUUGAAGAGUAUCCCGUUUCCUCUGCUAAGUUCAAGUCUCAUUCUUCCUGGCUCCUCACUGUCAGCCUGUCAAAGAAGGAACUUUGUAAUGAGUCGGAUAUUUAAACCCAACUUAACCCCACCACUCUCGAGGUUCAAUUGCUUGGCAACAAGAAAGAUUCACUAUCAAGUAUAUUACAAAGAAGGAUAAUGCGAUGGGAGUGGCGGAAUCAGUGAGUUAUCUUUCUUCUGCUCCUCCCUUGUAUCAAUUCCCUUGGUAGGCAUCGUACUCCUAUACAUUGCCCUCCUCAUCACUGGUUGUUUGUGGCCCUUGGCCAUCAAUGGUAUCAGACAAAGGAUAUUGUUGAACGCAAACACAACUGUGAGCUCAUCAUCACAUUCAAACUGCGGCCAAGAAAGCACACCGAUGCCGCCACCUCUUCAGAAGACCAAGGAAGUUCCACAUGUCUCCAAUUACUCUUGCCGAAUUCUACUGAUGUACUGUAGAAAGCAUCCUCUCGGAAUGCAUCACAGCUUUGUCGGCCCAAGUCUGCAGGAAUUUGCAGAGAGUUGUGGAAGUGGUCCAAUACAUCACACAGACCAGACUCCCCACCAUUGAUUUCAUCUACACUUCACGCUAUCUUAAGAAAGCAGACAAUAAAAUCAAGGACAUUUUACACCCCAGUCAUUCCCUCGUCUAUCCCUCCAUUCAGGCAGAAGAUACAAAACCUUGAAAGCCCAUACCACCAGAUUCAAGAACAGCUUCUUUCCCGCUGUUCUCAGACUACUGUAUGGAAGUCCCAUAAUCUAGGUUGUAGUUCCAAUCUUCCAACCUACCUCAUUGCAAACCUUGCACAUUUUCUCUGCAACUGUAAUGCUAUAAUGCUAUAUAUUCUGCACUCUGGUAUUUUUCUCUUUGCACCUCCUGUUGCACAUGUGUAUGGCUCAAUCAUACUCAAGCGUGGUAUGAUUUGACUGGAUAGCAUUAAAGCAAAGUUUUUCCACUAUCUCGGUGCACGUGGCAAUAAUAAUCCAAUACCACGUUCUCUGCAAGGGUUGUGCCAUCUGGGAUGAACUCUCAGAUAUCUCUUCUCUGAACGGUUCAAUUAUGAUGAUGUAGCUUUGAUGUACAAUUCUUGCACUUUCCUGGAUGUGAAUCAGAAGAUUAAGGAUUAAGGUCCCACCUUGAAGCCGAUUCAAACUGAGGAAGCAUGACACUGUUUGAGGAGAUGCCUCCCUAAUCAAAUGUUUAUCUGAAGCUUGCUUUUCUAGCAAGAGAGCCAAGAGUCAAUAGUGUUUAAUUGCCUUAUGUGUGGAAUAUGCAAUAAUGAAAUGUUUACUUACAGCAGCAUAACAGGAAUGUAAACACUUGAGAUAAGUACUCAUUGAUAACACAUUAGAAAAAAAAUCAAUAAAUUAAUAAAAACAAUAUUAGUACAAAA